rnacentral:rRNA from 1 species
AGGUCAAGUUAAUAAGGGCAUGCGGUGGAUGCCUAGGCACUGAGAGCCGAUGAAGGACGUGAUAAGCUGCGAAAAGUCA